rnacentral:rRNA from 1 species
UAGGGAAUCUUCCGCAAUGGACGAAAGUCUGACGGAGCAACGCCGCGUGAGUGAAGAAGGAUUUCGGUUCGUAAAACUCUGUUGUUAGGGAAGAAAAAAUGUAUAGUAACUAUAUACAAAAGAGACGGUACCUAACCGGAAAGCCACGGCUAACUACGUGCCAGCAGCCGCGGUAAUACGUAGGUGGCAAGCGUUGUCCGGAAUUAUUGGGCGUAAAGCGCGCGCAGGUGGUUUAGAAAGUCUGAUGUGAAAGCCCACGGCUCAACCGUGGAGGGUCAUUGGAAACUAAUAAACUUGAGUGCAGGAGAGAAAAGUGGAAUUCCUAGUGUAGCGGUGAAAUGCGUAGAGAUUAGGAGGAACACCGGUGGCGAAAGCGGCUUUUUGGCCUGCAACUGACACUGAGGCGCGAAAGCGUGGGGAGCAAACAGG